GACGAACGCUGGCGGCGUGCUUAACACAUGCAAGUCGAACGAGACGAUUGAAAGCUUGCUUUCGAAAGUCGAGUGGCAAACGGGUGAGUAACGCGUAGACAACCUGCCUUUGAGAUGGGGACAACAGUUCGAAAGGACUGCUAAUACCGAAUGUUGUAUAUUUUCCACAUGGAAGAUAUAUUAAAGAUGGCCUCUAUUUAUAAGCUAUCGCUCAAAGAUGGGUCUGCGUCUGAUUAGCUAGUUGGUGGGGUAACGGCCUACCAAGGCGACGAUCAGUAGCCGGUCUGAGAGGAUGAACGGCCACAUUGGGACUGGAACACGGCCCAGACUCCUACGGGAGGCAGCAGUGGGGAAUCUUCCACAAUGGACGAAAGUCUGAUGGAGCAACGCCGCGUGAGUGAAGAAGGGUUUCGGCUCGUAAAGCUCUGUUGUCGGGGACGAAUGUGCAGUAUUUGAAUAAAGUACUGUAAUGACGGUACCUGACGAGGAAGCCACGGCUAACUACGUGCCAGCAGCCGCAGUAA
rnacentral:rRNA from 1 species